GGCCAAGUUUUUAAGGGCGCACGGUGGAUGCCUUGGCACCAGGAACCGAUGAAGGACGUGGGAGGCCACGAUAGUCCCCGGGGAGCCGUCAACCAGGCUUUGAUCCGGGGGUUUCCGAAUGGGGAAACCCGGCAGUCGUCAUGGGCUGUCACCCAUGCCUGAACACAUAGGGCAUGUGGAGGGAACGAGGGGAAGUGAAACAUCUCAGUACCCUCAGGAAGAGAAAACAACCGUGAUUCCGGGAGUAGUGGCGAGCGAAACCGGAUGAGGCCAAACCGUAUGCGUGUGAUACCCGGCAGGGGUUGCGCAUGCGGGGUUGUGGGAUCUCUUUUUCACAGUCUGCCGGCUGUGAGGCGAGUCAGAAACCGUAUGGGUAGGCGAAGGACAUGCGAAAGGUCCGGCGUAGAGGGUAAGACCCCCGUAGCUGAAAU
rnacentral:rRNA from 1 species